CAUUGUUUAUUUAAUUUGUCUGUUCAAGAUUAAGCCAUGCAUGUCUAAGUAUAAGCAAUUAUACCGUGAAACUGCGAAUGGCUCAUUAAAUCAGUUAUCGUUUAUUUGAUAGUACCUUACUACUUGGAUAACCGUGGUAAUUCUAGAGCUAAUACAUGCUAAAAACCCCAACUUCGGGAGGGGUGUAUUUAUUAGAUAAAAAACCAAUGCCCUUCGGGGCUCUUUGGUGAUUCAUGAUAACUUAACGGAUCGCAUGGCCUUGCGCCGGCGACGGUUCAUUCAAAUUUCUGCCCUAUCAACUUUCGAUGGUAAGGUAUUGGCUUACCAUGGUUUCAACGGGUAACGGGGAAUUAGGGUUCGAUUCCGGAGAGGGAGCCUGAGAAACGGCUACCACAUCCAAGGAAGGCAGCAGGCGCGCAAAUUACCCAAUCCCGACACGGGGAGGUAGUGACAAUAAAUACUGAUACAGGGCUCUUUUGGGUCUUGUAAUCGGAAUGAGUACAAUUUAAACCCCUUAACGAGGAACAAUUGGAGGGCAAGUCUGGUGCCAGCAGCCGCGGUAAUUCCAGCUCCAAUAGCGUAUAUUAAAGUUGUUGCAGUUAAAAAGCUCGUAGUUGAACCUUGGGCCUGGCUGGCCGGUCCGCCUCACCGCGUGUACUGGUCCGGCCGGGCCUUUCCUUCUGGAGAGCCCCAUGCCCUUCACUGGGCGUGCGGGGGAACCAGGACUUUUACUUUGAAAAAAUUAGAGUGUUCAAAGCAGGCCUUUGCUCGAAUACGUUAGCAUGGAAUAAUAGAAUAGGACGUGCGGUCCUAUUUUGUUGGUUUCUAGGACCGCCGUAAUGAUUAAUAGGGAUAGUCGGGGGCAUCAGUAUUCAAUUGUCAGAGGUGAAAUUCUUGGAUUUAUUGAAGACUAACUACUGCGAAAGCAUUUGCCAAGGAUGUUUUCAUUAAUCAGUGAACGAAAGUUAGGGGAUCGAAGACGAUCAGAUACCGUCGUAGUCUUAACCGUAAACUAUGCCGACUAGGGAUCGGGCGAUGUUUCUAUCUUGACUCGCUCGGCACCUUACGAGAAAUCAAAGUUUUUGGUUCUGGGGAG
rnacentral:rRNA from 1 species